CGGGCGGCCGUGACCCUGCUGGAGUGCGGGGGGGACCUCCAGCCCCCCGGGGGGUCCCUGACUCUGCUCUGCCGCGCCUCUGGAUUCAAUUUUGGGACUUACAGCAUGUGCUGGGUCCGCCAGAGCUCCGGGAAGGCACUGGAAUGGCUCGCAGGGAUCGGCUACAGUGGUAGCACCUACUACGCGCCGUCGUUCAAGGACCGGUUCAGGAUCUCCAGGGACAACGGGCAGAGCUCGGUGACGCUGACCAUGAACAGCCUCAAGGACGAGGAUUCCGCCGUUUAUUUUUGUCCCCCCGGGGGUUCCCUGACUCUGCUCUGCCGCGCCUCCGGGUUCAAUCUCGGAGAUUAUGGAAUGUUCUGGAUCCGUCAGAGCCCCGGGAAGGCGCUGGAAUACGUUGCACAGAUUGGCUACAAUGGUGCCAACAUCCACUACGCGCCGUCGUUCAAGGGCCGGGUCACGAUCUCCAGGGACAACGGGCAGAGCUCGGUGACGCUGACCAUGAACAACCUCAAGGACGAGGAUUCCGGCAUUUAUUUCUGUGCCAAAAGUCCUGGUGGUCCUGCCUGGAUCGCUGACCUUUCCCGGGUCUUUGGCGAAUCCAGUACAUUCCGAAAGUCCCAAAUGUGA